AUGACGAUGCAACACAUGACGAACUAUAGGAGCCGCAGGAUGACCAAGGCGCGCAUGCUAGUGCGUAGGCGACACACAAACACCACUGAAAGCCUGCGGAGAAAACUGCAUGGGAGAUGUGCGUGGUGCAUCAAGUGCAUACAGGCCAUGACGAAGACGACCGCUAAGCAGAACGGCCCUCGUGUCCCGAUCCUUGAUAAAGAAACGAAAAGGAUGAAACUCAGCAAGGACAUUAUUAUCACGAGUAAGUUGAGGAGUGGACAACAAAGUACGUGUAGCAGAGGGUACUCUAAGGACAUUGGAAAGAUGCAAUGUAUGAAAAUUGUGUGUGAGGAGAGAAGCCUGACCAACAUGGGAGAUGCGCAUACCUGCUCCACUGGCAGUGUGGACCUGAUCAUGACCACGAUAUGGCUCCUGAGUAGACAGCUUGCCCAUCUCGCCGGUGAGGUGGUUGGUAGCUGCGGUGUCCAUAUACCAUGUGGGAUCAAUGGAAUAGGACGGAGUGCGACCGUGCUCAUGACUCGUCACCGCGGCUGCGGCCUGCUUAUCAUUCCCUUUGCCAUUAUUGCCCAUACCCAGGAAGUCUUGCUUGUAGCGAUGAUGACAGCGGGAAGCAAUAUGGCUCUCAAUGCCACACAGCUGACAGGCCUGCUGAGCGCCACAGCAUGGACAGCAGGCAACCGGCCGGUUACCGCCGGUGAUGGUCAGCGCAUUGCCCCGCGAGGCCUGCUGUGA
rnacentral:rRNA from 1 species